rnacentral:rRNA from 1 species
CUCGUAGGCGGUUCGUCGCGUCCGGUGUGAAAGUCCAUCGCUUAACGGUGGAUCCGCGCCGGGUGCGGGCGGGCUUGAGUGCGGUAGGGGAGACUGGAAUUCCCGGUGUAACGGUGGAAUGUGUGGAUAUCGGGAAGAACACCAAUGGCGAAGGCAGGUCUCUGGGCCGUCACUGACGCUGAGGAGCGAAAGCGUGGGGAGCGAACA